ACAACCGAGGUGCAAAGGCUGUCGCUGACCCUCAAAGGUUGUGCACGCCCGAGCGCUCUCACACAAUCCAUCUCACCUUUGUGCAUCACCGCGUGGGUCCCCUUUGCGGGAGGGCUCGCGUUUUCACAUAAUAACUCGAUACAGUGUAGAAUGUUUCUUUUGCGGUCACACGCAAUCAAUACAACUUUCAACAACGGAUCUCUUGGCUCUCGCAUCGAUGAAGAACGCAGCGAAAUGCGAUACGUAAUGUGAAUUGCAGAAUUCAGUGAAUCAUCGAAUCUUUGAACGCACCUUGCGCCCCUUGGCAUUCCGAGGGGCACACCCGUUUGAGUGUCGUGAAUUCUUCAAAACCCUUUUUUCUUCGAACCAUCGUGGUCGGGAAAAGGAUUUUUGGACUUGGAGGUUUAAUGCUCGCCCUUUCUUUUGAAAGCGAGCUCCUCUUAAAUGAAUUAGUGGGGUCCGCUUUGCUGAUCCUUGACGUGAUAAAAUGUUUCUACGUUUUGGGUUUAGCACUGUCGCUUGGAUGCCUGCUCCUAACCCGUCUCAUUGACAAUGAUGGUGCUCUGGUCACUGCCGUCUACAUCGGCGGGAGGCUGGACCCACAAAAAGAAAANNCUUGA
rnacentral:rRNA from 1 species